GAUGAACGCUGGCGGCGUGCUUAACACAUGCAAGUCGAACGAGAAGUGAAGACGGAAACCUUCGGGCGGAAGGCUUUAUUUCGAGUGGCGGACGGGUGAGUAACGCGUGGGUAACCUGCCUCAUACAGGGGGAUAACAGUUGGAAACGACUGUUAAUACCGCAUAAGACCACAGCACCGCAUGGUGCGGGGGUAAAAACUCCGGUGGUAUGAGAUGGACCCGCUUUCGAUUAGCCAGUUGGCGGGGUAACGGCCCACCAAAGCGACGAUCGAUAGCCGAUCUGAGAGGAUGACCGGCCACAUUGGGACGGAGACACGGCCCAAACUCCUACGGGAGGCAGCAGUGGGGAAUAUUGCACAAUGGGGGAAACCCUGAUGCAGCGACGCCGCGUGAGUGAAGAAGUAUUUCGGUAUGUAAAGCUCUAUCAGCAGGGAAGAAAAUGACGGUACCUGAGUAAGAAGCCCCGGCUAACUACGUG
rnacentral:rRNA from 1 species